AGCGAACGCUGGCGGCAGGCCUAAUACAUGCAAGUCGAACGGCUCUUCGGAGCAGUGGCGGACGGGUGAGUAACGCGUGGGAAUGUGCCCUUUGGUACGGAACAACACAGGGAAACUUGUGCUAAUGCCGUAUUUGCCCUUCGGGGGAAAGAUUUAUCGCCAUUGUAGCCGCCCGCGUUGGAUUAGGUAGUUGGUGAGGUCAAGGCUCACCAAUCCUACGAUCAAUAGAUGGUCGGAGAGUAUGACCAGCCACACUGGGACUGAGACACGGACAAGACUCAUACGAGGGGAAGCAGUAGGGAAUGUUGCGCAAUGGGAGAAAACCUGACGCAGCCAUGCCGCGUGUAUGAUGAAGGUCUAAGGAUUGUAAAAUACUUUCACCGGGAAAGAUAAUGACGGUAACAGGAGAAGAAGCCCCGGCUAACCUCGUGCCAGCCGCCGCAGUAAAAC
rnacentral:rRNA from 1 species